CUGAAGACCUUACCGGAUUAGCUGAGAGGUGGUGCAUGGCCGUCGUCAGUUCGUACUGUGAAGCAUCCUGUUAAGUCAGGCAACGAGCGAGACCCACGUCCACAGUUGCCAGCAUACCCUCCGGGGUGAUGGGUACACUGUGGAGACCGCCGCUGCUAAAGCGGAGGAAGGAAUGGGCAACGGUAGGUCAGUAUGCCCCGAAUCUCCCGGGCUACACGCGGGCUACAAUGGUUGGUACAAUGGGCAUCUACCCCCGAAAGGGGAGGGAAAUCUCUUAAAGCCAAUCGUAGUUCGGAUUGAGGGCUGCAACUCGCCCUCAUGAAGCUGGAAUCCGUAGUAAUCGCGUUUCAACAGAACGCGGUGAAUACGUCCCUGCUCCUUGCACACACCGCCCGUCAAACCACCCGAGUAGGGUCUGGAUGAGGGUGUGUUACUUUGACACAUUCGAAUCUGGGCUUUGCAAGGGGGGUUAAGUCGUAACAAGGUAACC
rnacentral:rRNA from 1 species